rnacentral:tmRNA from 1 species
AGCGAGCAUGGGGCCGACUAGCAUCGACGGACGUGUAAAGAAGACUGCUUUCGCCCGUCCUGGCCCACCGUAUCGGGCCAUUUUCUAACUGCGAACGAUAACUUCGCUGGAGAAGUCGCUCUCGCCGCGUAAGCGGUUCGGGUGAUUUCGAACACUUAAGUCCUCGGGGAUCAGUUCCCGGGGCGGGGCCGCCAGGGGGCCCGCCAACAGAACCCCUGGCA